AUGAACGCUAGCUACAGGCUUAACACAUGCAAGUCGAGGGGCAGCAUUUUAGUUUGCUUGCAAACUAAAGAUGGCGACCGGCGCACGGGUGAGUAACACGUAUCCAACCUGCCGAUAACUCGGGGAUAGCCUUUCGAAAGAAAGAUUAAUAUCCGAUAGUAUAUUAAAACCGCAUGGUUUUACUAUUAAAGAAUUUCGGUUAUCGAUGGGGAUGCGUUCCAUUAGUUUGUUGGCGGGGUAACGGCCCACCAAGACAACGAUGGAUAGGGGUUCUGAGAGGAAGGUCCCCCACAUUGGAACUGAGACACGGUCCAAACUCCUACGGGAGGCAGCAGUGAGGAAUAUUGGUCAAUGGACGAGAGUCUGAACCAGCCAAGUAGCGUGAAGGAUGACUGCCCUAUGGGUUGUAAACUUCUUUUAUAUGGGAAUAAAGUAUUCCACGUGUGGGAUUUUGUAUGUACCAUAUGAAUAAGGAUCGGCUAACUCCGUGCCAGCAGCCGCGGUAAUACGGAGGAUCCGAGCGUUAUCCGGAUUUAUUGGGUUUAAAGGGAGCGUAGGUGGAUUGUUAAGUCAGUUGUGAAAGUUUGCGGCUCAACCGUAAAAUUGCAGUUGAAACUGGCAGUCUUGAGUACAGUAGAGGUGGGCGGAAUUCGUGGUGUAGCGGUGAAAUGCUUAGAUAUCACGAAGAACUCCGAUUGCGAAGGCAGCUCACUAGACUGCAACUGACACUGAUGCUCGAAAGUGUGGGUAUCAAACAGGAUUAGAUACCCUGGUAGUCCACACAGUAAACGAUGAAUACUCGCUGUUUGCGAUAUACAGUAAGCGGCCAAGCGAAAGCAUUAAGUAUUCCACCUGGGGAGUACGCCGGCAACGGUGAAACUCAAAGGAAUUGACGGGGGCCCGCACAAGCGGAGGAACAUGUGGUUUAAUUCGAUGAUACGCGAGGAACCUUACCCGGGCUUAAAUUGCAUUUGAAUAAUCUGGAAACAGGUUAGCCGCAAGGCAAAUGUGAAGGUGCUGCAUGGUUGUCGUCAGCUCGUGCCGUGAGGUGUCGGCUUAAGUGCCAUAACGAGCGCAACCCUUAUCUUUAGUUACUAACAGGUGAUGCUGAGGACUCUAGAGAGACUGCCGUCGUAAGAUGUGAGGAAGGUGGGGAUGACGUCAAAUCAGCACGGCCCUUACGUCCGGGGCUACACACGUGUUACAAUGGGGGGUACAGAAGGCAGCUACCUGGCGACAGGAUGCUAAUCCCAAAAACCUCUCUCAGUUCGGAUCGAAGUCUGCAACCCGACUUCGUGAAGCUGGAUUCGCUAGUAAUCGCGCAUCAGCCAUGGCGCGGUGAAUACGUUCCCGGGCCUUGUACACACCGCCCGUCAAGCCAUGAAAGCCGGGGGUACCUGAAGUACGUAACCGCAAGGAGCGUCCUAGGGUAAAACUGGUAAUUGGGGCU
rnacentral:rRNA from 1 species